AGAUUCCAUGCCGGAAUGAAGCCAUGGUGGGCCAGGGACUGGGCGUUACCCAGCAGGGGGCAGUGUGUGUGUCCUGGGGAGACCAAUGCCUGCCUGGAUGCGGAGGGGGGUGAGGGGCCUCCCGCUCCCUGGGAACAGCUGUUCAACUCUGCUAAGGCUGAUUCCUCUUUGAGACCACCCCAGUCCUUUCUCCCCACAGGCUGGUAGAGAGUGCCCGAGAGGCCUGGAGAAGACUUUGGACCUGCUUUCACAACUGCAGAGCCUCCUGGAGCCACACCUUGACAAAGGUGACUUUGGUCAGCUCUCCGGUCCAGACCCCCCAGGUGAGGUGGGCGAAAAAGCACCUGAUGGAGCCUCCCAGUCCUCUCAUGAGCCUAUGGAAGAUGCUGCUCCCCUUCUCUCCCCGUUAGCUUCCCCGGAUCCUCAAGCCAAGCAUCCUCAGGAUCUGGCCUCCACCCCAUCACCAGGCCCAAUGACCACCUCAGUCUCCUCCCUAAGUGCCUCCCAGCCACCA
rnacentral:sRNA from 1 species